AUAUUACUCCCUCCGUCCAGAAAUACUUGUCGGAGAAAUGGAUCAAAAUUGAUGUAUCUAAGACUGAAAUAUGUCUAGAUACAUCCAUUUCUCUGACAAGUAUUUUCGAACGGAGGGAGUAUAAU
rfam:Triticum aestivum genome assembly, contig: Triticum_aestivum_CS42_TGACv1_scaffold_404479_5BL